rnacentral:rRNA from 1 species
AUACGGAGGGUCCAAGCGUUAUGCGGAUUCAUUGGGUUUAAAGGGUCCGCAGGCGGGAAAAUAAGUCAGUGGUGAAAGCCUACAGCUCAACUGUAGAACUGCCAUUGAUACUGUUUUUCUUGAGUAUAGAUGAAGUGGGCGGAAUAUAUCAUGUAGCGGUGAAAUGCAUAGAUAUGAUAUAGAACACCGAUUGCGAAGGCAGCUCACUAAACUAUUACUGACGCUCAGGGACGAAAGCGUGGGGAGCGAACAGGAUUAGAUACCCUAGUAGUCC